rnacentral:rRNA from 1 species
GGGUUGUGAGGUUAAGCGACUAAGCGUACACGGUGGAUGCCCUGGCAGUCAGAGGCGAUGAAGGACGUGCUAAUCUGCGAAAAGCGUCGGUAAGGUGAUAUGAACCGUUAUAACCGGCGAUGUCCGAAUGGGGAAACCCAGUGCAAUUCGUUGCACUAUCGUUAACUGAAUACAUAGGUUAACGAGGCGAACCGGGGGAACUGAAACAUCUAAGUACCCCGAGGAAAAGAAAUCAACCGAGAUUCCCCCAGUAGCGGCGAGCGAACGGGGAGCAGCCCAGAGUCUGAAUCAGCUUGUGUGUUAGUGGAACGGUCUGGAAAGUCCGACGGUACAGGGUGAUAGUCCCGUACACCAAAAUGCACAGGUUGUGAACUCGAAGAGUAGGGCGGGACACGUGGUAUCCUGUCUGAAUAUGGGGGGACCAUCCUCCAAGGCUAAAUACUCCUGACUGACCGAUAGUGAACCAGUACCGUGAGGGAAAGGCGAAAAGAACCCCGGCGAGGGGAGUGAAAAAGAACCUGAAACCGUGUACGUACAAGCAGUGGGAGCACCUUCGGGUGUGACUGCGUACCUUUUGUAUAAUGGGUCAGCGACUUAUAUUCUGUAGCAAGGUUAACCGUAUAGGGGAGCCGCAGGGAAACCGAGUCUUAACUGGGCGUUAAGUUGCAGGGUAUAGACCCGAAACCCGGUGAUCUAGCCAUGGGCAGGUUGAAGGUUGGGUAACACUAACUGGAGGACCGAACCGACUAAUGUUGAAAAAUUAGCGGAUGACUUGUGGCUGGGGGUGAAAGGCCAAUCAAACCGGGAGAUAGCUGGUUCUCCCCGAAAGCUAUUUAGGUAGCGCCUCGUGAAUUCAUCUUCGGGGGUAGAGCACUGUUUCGGCUAGGGGGUCAUCCCGACUUACCAACCCGAUGCAAACUACGAAUACCGAAGAAUGUUAUCACGGGAGACACACGGCGGGUGCUAACGUCCGUCGUGAAGAGGGAAACAACCCAGACCGCCAGCUAAGGUCCCAAAGUCAUGGUUAAGUGGGAAACGAUGUGGGAAGGCACAGACAGCCAGGAUGUUGGCUUAGAAGCAGCCAUCAUUUAAAGAAAGCGUAAUAGCUCACUGGUCGAGUCGGCCUGCGCGGAAGAUGUAACGGGGCUAAACCAUGCACCGAAGCUGCGGCAGCGACACUUAUGUGUUGUUGGGUAGGGGAGCGUUCUGUAAGCCUGCGAAGGUGGCCUGUGAGGGUUGCUGGAGGUAUCAGAAGUGCGAAUGCUGACAUAAGUAACGAUAAAGCGGGUGAAAAGCCCGCUCGCCGGAAGACCAAGGGUUCCUGUCCAACGUUAAUCGGGGCAGGGUGAGUCGACCCCUAAGGCGAGGCCGAAAGGCGUAGUCGAUGGGAAACAGGUUAAUAUUCCUGUACUUGGUGUUACUGCGAAGGGGGGACGGAGAAGGCUAUGUUAGCCGGGCGACGGUUGUCCCGGUUUAAGCAUGUAGGCGGAGGUUCCAGGUAAAUCCGGUACCUUUUAACGCUGAGGUGUGAUGACGAGGCACUACGGUGCUGAAGUAACAAAUGCCCUGCUUCCAGGAAAAGCCUCUAAGCAUCAGGUAACAUUAAAUCGUACCCCAAACCGACACAGGUGGUCAGGUAGAGAAUACCAAGGCGCUUGAGAGAACUCGGGUGAAGGAACUAGGCAAAAUGGUGCCGUAACUUCGGGAGAAGGCACGCUGGUGUGUAGGUGAAGUCCCUGCGGACGGAGCUGAGACCAGUCGAAGAUACCAGCUGGCUGCAACUGUUUAUUAAAAACACAGCACUGUGCAAACACGAAAGUGGACGUAUACGGUGUGACGCCUGCCCGGUGCCGGAAGGUUAAUUGAUGGGGUUAUCCGUAAGGAGAAGCUCUUGAUCGAAGCCCCGGUAAACGGCGGCCGUAACUAUAACGGUCCUAAGGUAGCGAAAUUCCUUGUCGGGUAAGUUCCGACCUGCACGAAUGGCGUAAUGAUGGCCAGGCUGUCUCCACCCGAGACUCAGUGAAAUUGAACUCGCUGUGAAGAUGCAGUGUACCCGCGGCAAGACGGAAAGACCCCGUGAACCUUUACUAUAGCUUGACACUGAACAUUGAGCCUUGAUGUGUAGGAUAGGUGGGAGGCUUUGAAGCGUGGACGCCAGUCUGCGUGGAGCCAACCUUGAAAUACCACCCUUUAAUGUUUGAUGUUCUAACGUUGGCCCGUAAUCCGGGUUGCGGACAGUGUCUGGUGGGUAGUUUGACUGGGGCGGUCUCCUCCCAAAGAGUAACGGAGGAGCACGAAGGUUAGCUAAUCCUGGUCGGACAUCAGGAGGUUAGUGCAAUGGCAUAAGCUAGCUUGACUGCGAGCGUGACGGCGCGAGCAGGUGCGAAAGCAGGUCAUAGUGAUCCGGUGGUUCUGAAUGGAAGGGCCAUCGCUCAACGGAUAAAAGGUACUCCGGGGAUAACAGGCUGAUACCGCCCAAGAGUUCAUAUCGACGGCGGUGUUUGGCACCUCGAUGUCGGCUCAUCACAUCCUGGGGCUGAAGUAGGUCCCAAGGGUAUGGCUGUUCGCCAUUUAAAGUGGUACGCGAGCUGGGUUUAGAACGUCGUGAGACAGUUCGGUCCCUAUCUGCCGUGGGCGCUGGAGAAUUGAGGGGGGCUGCUCCUAGUACGAGAGGACCGGAGUGGACGCAUCACUGGUGUUCGGGUUGUCAUGCCAAUGGCACUGCCCGGUAGCUAAAUGCGGAAGAGAUAAGUGCUGAAAGCAUCUAAGCACGAAACUUGCCCCGAGAUGAGUUCUCCCUGAGACUUUAAGUCUCCUGAAGGAACGUUGAAGACGACGACGUUGAUAGGCCGGGUGUGUAAGCGCAGCGAUGCGUUGAGCUAACCGGUACUAAUGAACCGUGAGGCUUAACCUUACAACGCCGAAGCUGUU